UCAGCUUUGGGAAGUAUUGAAGUGAAAAUAGUUUAGAAAAAGGUGUAUUUGGAGAAAAGGAAGAGAGAAGAUGGGAUGCUUCGAUUGCUUCGAUGGGGGCAGCAAAAGAGAACAAAGGAGAGAAGAAGAACAAUUAGCCUCCGAAGAAGCUCGUGCCAGAGCUGCCGAAGCCGCCCAAAAAAGGCAAGAACAAUAUGAAAAAUCUGCCGCAGGAAGAGCAGCACGUGCACAAAUGGCAGCUGCUGCCAAGCAAGCAACGAAUGCAAACCAGGGAGAACCAGUUCUUAAAGUACUUCCUUCUUUCUAAUUACUGAUGGUCGCCGUUUUUUCUACUAUAUACUUAAUAUUUUUUUAUUGUAUCUACUUCUCGUAUUAGUUAAAAACAAUACUCAAAGUUUUAGAUUCCUCUACCAUUGGCCCAAAUCCUUUCUUUUGAGAUUGAUGCUGUACUUGUCAAGCUUAAAUACUCAAAGAUAUCUGAAAAUAGAACUUUGAGCUUUGAUCCGGUUUCAAUUAUGUGGAUGCAGUGGCAGAUGGGAUGAGCAUUAGUUCUCUUAGGUCAACUUCUUUCAUUCAUUGUACUGAGAGUUGUAGUUUGAUGUCCAACAGUUGUAAAUAUGUUGCUCUUAUUUAAUUUACUGUUUUCUCCAAUCUAAAUAUUUGUAAACUAAAAUGAGAAUAAGGUGGAACAAAUCUCACAAUUUGUAUUUCCACCACUCAAUUUACUCUUCUCUUGUUUGUAUACACAUAUGUAAUUCAAAGGGCUUCUCAACAUUCAGUUUACAUAGGAAAGUAAGGCAUCAAAUAUCAUUUUUCGUUAAA